GUCCCUGUAGUGCAAUGGAUAGCACGUUGCCUGUUGGACUUCUAAUCCAAAGGUCGUGGGCUCAAAUCCCUCUUGGGAUA